CUUCAGAACCUUCUACUUCCUUUGUUGCCCACAAUUUGUGCUCUAUUUUCUCUUUUAACUAUAGUCAAAAAAAUAGAAUAUGGACAGAAAUGGUUGCUACAUCCUCUUUACUACAAGACUGAAUGACAAAUACAAAAAGUUUUCUGUGGCUGUUUUUGCAUAGCAUCCCAAAGAGGAAAAGAACAAUUGUUUUUAAAAGGUUUGAUCCCAAGGGGAGUAAUUCAAAGGUGAAGACAUAUACAUAGAUAUUGCCACUGCCCUGGAAUAUGGAAUAAAGAAGAUAAGAAGUGGAAGGGCUUCUAGUGAGAUCUCCAUAAUGCGACAUGAGUAGCUGUUGAGAAAGCUUCCAAAGAAGAAUACAGAUAGGAGGAGGCCAAAAAGACAGGUUCCUCACCAGUACCUACAGAGGAAGUUGCUAUGGGUAUUAUAAUGGAAACCAGGGUAAUGAGUCUUCAGUUGAAU